GACGAACGCUGGCGGCGGGCUUAACACAUGCAAGUCGAACGGAAAGGCCCUGCUUGUGUGGGGUGCUCGAGUGGCGAACGGGUGAGUAACACGUGAGUAACCUGCCCUUGACUUUGGGAUAACAUCAGGAAACUGGGGUUAAGACCGGAUAGGAUCUCCUGUUGCAUGGUGGGGGUUGGAAAUUUUCGGCUGGCGGGGAUGGACGCGCGGCUGAUGAGCUAGUUGGUGGGGUAGUGGCUUACCAAGGCUUUGACGGGUAGCCGGCCGGUGAGGGUGACCGGCCACAUUGGGACUGAGAUACGGCCCAGACUCCUACGGGAGGCAGCAGUGGGGAAUAUUGCACAAUGGGCGGAAGCCUGAUGCAGCAACGCCGCGUGCGGGAUGACGGCCUUCGGGUUGUAAACCGCUUUCGCCUGUGACGAAGCGUGAGUGACGGUAAUGGGUAAAGAAGCACCGGCUAACUACGUG
rnacentral:rRNA from 1 species